GUGAAUCAUCGAAUUUUUGAACGCAAAUUGCACUCCCUGGUAUUCCGGGGAGUAUGCCUGUUGAGGGUUGUUAGAAGAAAAAUUGAAGCAUCGCUCUUUUUUUUGAGGGUGAUCGCGUCGGAAUUGAGCCGGCUUUCAAAAGUUAAUUCAUGUCAAAGUGGCUUAAAAUUCAUCCAUCCGGUACGAAUAAAGCGUAUUUAAGAUCAAUUUUGAAUAAGAACGCGCGAAU
rnacentral:misc_RNA from 1 species